rnacentral:rRNA from 1 species
GACGAACGCUGGCGGCGUGCUUAACACAUGCAAGUCGAACGGAAAGGCCCUGCUAUUGUGGGGUGCCCGAGUGGCGAACGGGUGAGUAACACGUGAGUAACCUGCUCUUGACUUUGGGAUAACUUCAGGUAACUGGGGUUACUCCCGGAUAGGAGCUCACGCUGCAUGGUGGGGGUUGGAUCGUUUCGGCGGUUGGGGAUGGACUAGCGGCUUACCAGCUUGUUGGUGGGGUAGUGGCUGGCCAAGGCAUUGACGGGUAGCCCGCCUGUGGGAGUGACCGGCCGCAUUGGGACUGAGAUACGGCCGAGGCGCCUACGAGAGGCAGCAGUGGGGAAGAUUGCACCAGGGGCGGAAGCCUGAUGCAGCAACGCCGCGUGCGGGAUAACGGCCUUCGGGUGGAAGACCGCUUUCGCCUGUAACGAAGCGUGUUUGGCGGUAAUGGGUAGAGUAGCACCGGCUAACUACGUU